rnacentral:rRNA from 1 species
UACGUAGGCAGCGAGCGUUGUUCGGAGUUACUGGGCGUAAAGGGUGUGUAGGCGGUUGUUUAAGUUUGGUGUGAAAUCUCCCGGCUCAACUGGGAGGGUGCGCCGAAUACUGAAUGACUUGGAGUGCGGGAGAGGAAAGUGGAAUUCCCGGUGUAGUGGUGAAAUGCGUAGAUAUCGGGAGGAACACCAGUGGCGAAGGCGACUACCUGGCCUGUUUCUUGACGCUGAGGCGCGAAAGCUAGGGGAGCAAACGGG